rnacentral:rRNA from 1 species
UAACGUAGGAGACGAGCGUUGUCCGGAGUUACGUGGGCGUAAAGGGUGCGCAGGCGGCCUGGCGCGUCGCGAGUGAAAUCUCCUGGCUCAACUGGGAGGGUGGUCGCGAGACGACUGGGCUUGAGGCUCGGUGAGGGGCGUGGAAUUCCGGGUGGAGCGGUGAAAUGCGUAGAGAUCCGGAGGAACACCGACGGCGUAGGCAGCGCCCUAGACGAGACCUGACGCUCAGGCACGAAAGCGCGGGGAGCGAACAGG